rnacentral:rRNA from 1 species
UACGUAGGGGGCAAGCGUUGUCCGGAUUUAUUGGGCGUAAAGCGCACGCAGGCGAUCUUGUAAGUUUCGAGUGACAGGUGGUGGCUUAACUGCCACAGGCCUUGGAAAACUGCAAGACUUGAGGGCGAGAGAGGGAUGCGGAAUUCCAGGUGGAGCGGUGAAAUGCGUAGAGAUCUGGAAGAACACCAAAGGCGAAGGCAGCAUCCUGGAUCGUUACUGACGCUCAUGUGCGAAAGCCAGGGGAGCGAACGGG